rnacentral:rRNA from 1 species
GACGAACCGUGCGAACGUUGUUCGGAAUCACUGGGCUUAAAGGGCGCGUAGGCGGGCUCACAAGUCAGGGGUGAAAUCCCACGGCUCAACCGUGGAAGUGCCUUUGAUACUGUGGGGCUUGAGGGAGGUAGGGGCGUGCGGAACUUCCGGUGGAGCGGUGAAAUGCGUAGAUAUCGGAAGGAACACCGGUGGCGAAAGCGGCGCGCUGGACCUCUACUGACGCUGAGGCGCGAAAGCCAGGGGAAGCAAAGCGGG